GUAGGUGAACCUGCGGAAGGAUCAUUACCUAGAGUUGUAGGCUUUGCCUGCUAUCUCUUACCCAUGUCUUUUAAGUACCUUCGUUUCCUCGGCGGGCUCGCCCGCCGAAUGGACAAUUUAAACCAUUUGCAGUUGCAAUCAGCGUCAGUAAAAAAAUUAAUAAUUACAACUUUUAACAACGGAUCUCUUGGUUCUG
rnacentral:misc_RNA from 1 species